rnacentral:rRNA from 1 species
UACAGAGGGGGCAAGCGUUGUUCGGAAUUACUGGGCGUAAAGGGCGCGUAGGUGGCCUUCUAAGUUGAACGUGAAAUCCCUGGGCUCAACCCAGGAACUGCGUCCAAGACUGGGAGGCUUGAAUCCGGGAGAGGGAUGCGGAAUUCCAGGUGUAGCGGUGAAAUUCGUAGAUAUCGGGAGGAAUACCAGUGGCGAAGGCGGCGACCUGGGCCAAUACUGACGCUGAGGUGCGAAAGCGUGGGGAGCAAACAGG